UUGCACAUUUCUAACAGUUAUUGUGUCGAAUUUUAAAGUUUUAAUGAUAUUUCAUUACUAUUGAAUGAUUUUAAACGUAGGGGGACGUUCCUAGAUUUUUUAUUCAUGUCUAAGGAAUAUUUCCAUACUAUUGUCGAAACUCACUGAAUCAACAUGCAGUUGCGGACAAUGUGGAUCUUCUUACAACAGAUGUUUCUGUUGUCGAAAAACUUGACCAUCGCGACCCCUUUCAGGGUUUUCUCGCAAAAGUACUGCAGUGGUUUCGCCUUGCCUUCUGUGACCAGUCUUUACCAACCAGACUGGAAGAGGAGACGCAGACAAACAUCCAUGCCUUGAGUGGGACUCGAACCCACGGUCGCAGCGACCGGACGCACGAGGACCACGCCUCAGACCACUGCACCGGCAAUCAACAUGUGGGAAACAAAAAAAUCUUUUCAUAAUCUACCAACAUAUGAAGAUGGCCACUACCAACAUCUGUCGGGCUAUCGGCAGAGAAUCCAACCCCACUGUCAUGAGUGGAGGAAUCGACAGACAUGUGGCGCUCUUUGAACGCGCUGCAGCUGCUGUCUGCGGCAGA